rnacentral:rRNA from 1 species
UGAGGAAUAUUGGUCAAUGGGUGCAAGCCUGAACCAGCCAUCCCGCGUGAAGGACGACUGCCCUAUGGGUUGUAAACUUCUUUUGUAUAGGGAUAAACCUACCCUCGAGAGGGUAGCUGAAGGUACUAUACGAAUAAGCACCGGCUAACUCCGUGCCAGCAGCCGCGGUAAUACGGAGGGUGCAAGCGUUAUCCGGAUUUAUUGGGUUUAAAGGGUCCGUAGGCGGACUUAUAAGUCAGUGGUGAAAGCCUGUCGCUUAACGAUAGAACUGCCAUUGAUACUGUAAGUCUUGAGUAUAUUUGAGGUAGCUGGAAUAAGUAGUGUAGCGGUGAAAUGCAUAGAUAUUACUUAGAACACCAAUUGCGAAGGCAGGUUACCAAGAUAUAACUGACGCUGAGGGACGAAAGCGUGGGGAGCGAACA